rnacentral:lncRNA from 1 species
AUGUCUAAGGUUGUCCCUUUUCUUUUUUUCUAGCAGGGCGCGACGCAGAUUGAGGAUUCCCAGGUAUGUUUUCUGUUAAGACCUUUGUGUAUGUCUAAUUGCGCCUUUUCUUUUUUUCUAGCAGGGCGCGACGCAGAUUGAGGAUUCCCAGGUAUGUUUUCUGUUAAGACCUUUGUGUAUGUCUAAUGUUUUUUUUUUUUCCUUUAGGUCGUGUGGCCUUUUUUUUUUUGCAGGGCGCGACGCAGAUUGAGGAUUCCCAGGUAUGUUUUCUGUUAAGACCUUUGUGUAUGUCCAAUUGCGCCUUUUCUUUUUUUCUAGCAGGGCGCGACGCAGAUUGAGGAUUCCAAGGUAUGUUUUCUGUUAAGACCUUUGUGUAUGUCUAAUGGUUUCUUUUUUUUUUCCUUUAGGUCGUGUGGCCUUUUUUUUUUUUUGCAGGGCGCGACGCAGAUUGAGGAUUCCCAGGUAUGUUUUCUGUUAAGACCUUUGUGUAUGUCUAAUUGCGCCUUUUCUUUUUUUCUAGCAGGGCGCGACGCAGAUUGAGGAUUCCCAGGUAUGUUUUCUGUUAAGACCUUUGUGUAUGUCUAAUUGCGCCUUUUCUUUUUUUCUAGCAGGGCGCGACGCAGAUUGAGGAUUCCCAGGUAUGUUUUCUGUUAAGACCUUUGUGUAUGUCUAAUGUUGUCUUUUCUUUUUUUCUGGCAGGGCGCGACGCAGAUUGGAGAUUCGCAGGUAUGUUUUCUGUUAAGGCCUUUGUGUAUGUCAAAUGGUUCCUUUUUUUUCCUUUAGGUCGUGUGGCCUAUGGGACAUUUGCAGGUAUGUUUUCUGUUAAGGCCUUUGUGUAUGUUUAAUGUCGUUUUUUUUUUCUGGCAGGGCGUGUCGCAGAUUAAAGAUAUUUAAUUUUUUCAUUUUCUUGCCAAGACAUAAAAUCUGGCAUAUGUUUAAUUACAUUUCCUAUAAAGUUAUCUCUUAGCUUAGCAUUUUUUUUACAGUAUAAAAUAAAAUGGGCUUUAUCCUCCAUUGUAUUACAGGAUGUGCAUAGUCUUUUUUCUCUAGAUAGGUAUUUUUAAAUGUCUUCCUUUUUCUAUCACUAAAUUAUGAUAGCUAAUUCUCAUUUUUGUUAUGUUACUUCUCUUUUCAAAAGAUUUACAGUUUAAGUAGUUUUCCAUUUUAAAAUUUUGCUUUAAACUUUUAUAUAAAUACAAUUUACUUUUUUUAUCUAUUUUUUCAAAUUUUUGUUAAAAUAUAUUUGUGUAGAAAUUUAAUAAUUGAUGUUUUAAGGUUGUUUUUUUUUUUAAAUUUCAGUAUUUUUUUCUUUUGUUUCCCUCAAGAAUGGAUAUGUCCAUGUUUACCUCUUUCAAAAUAUUUUUAACAUAUGUAAACCAGGUAUAGCAACCUGAAUUAUCUAAACUUAUAGAAAGUAAAAAGGAUUCAUAUAAUAAUGGAUUAAUUUCAGAAUUUGGUAAUCUUGAUAUAAAGUAAAGUAUACUUUGAGUUUUUAUAUGCAUCUCUAGUGGGUAUCUCCCUAGCUCUGUUCUCACAGCUAUGUUUGAUGAAGAUUUUCUUGUUCUGAGGAUAUACUUACAGACAGACAAAUGUAUUUUCUACACUUGAUUUUUCAGUAAAAAUAAGGGGGGUCUAUAUUUGUUACAUUUGGACUAUCCUGGAAUGUUUUCUUUCUUAAUUUUUUUACUAUUUGUUUGUAUUUAGGCAACAACCAUUUUAUUAUCUGGGGGGCCUGGGAUUUUUUUGAAAAAAAAUAUUUUAAUGGCCUAGAUGAACGAAAAAAAAAUUAUGUUUUAAACUGUAGCUGAAAAAAAAAUUUAUGUUUUGCAAUGUAGCUGAAAAAAAAAUUAUGCUGUCACCUGCUUGAAAAAAAAUUUUGCACUGCUGAAUUUGAGAAUAGUGAAAAUAACAACAGUUGAGACAGUGAAACAGCAGAUUAUAAACAUCUGUCCAGUCUACAGAUUAAGCUAAGAUUUAUAUUUAUACCUUAUUACUUUUUGUAUUUUCCUGUAAGUGUUUGAUCCAGAAAUAUUUAAAAGCAUUCCAAAUCUCCCGCAUGUACAUGUAUGCUACUAGAUUAAGACAUACUUAAAACUGCAACUAUUAUAAACAUGAUAUGCAGGCGCGGAUCCAGAGGGGGGGUUCCAGGGUUGGAACCCCCCCUUUUUUUUGGCCGAUCAAUGCAUUUGAAUGGGAGCAUAUAGCUGGAACCCCCCCCCCCAUUACUCUGGGUUGGGAACCCCCCUUUUUAAAAUGGCUGGAUCCGCCCCUGAUAUGGUCAUUUUAUAACAGGGAUAGAUAUGGUAUCAUAUUAAAGCAGUCUUUUAAAGUAGCCCUGAUUGUGUAUUUUCCUUUGUAUCAUUCUGUAUCAUUUUUUAUACCUCUUUUUUCAAUGGAAUAUCAAUUAUCAUAGUUGGAAACAGUGGAUGUUUAUAAUUUGGAGCUACUCACUCUUACAUAUGGCAAUGGUGGCCACUUCAAUUGCAGUAUUAAAAUUCAAGGACUGUGGUACCUGUAUGACGGACUCAGAGAAUAUCAUAAUGUAGAAAGUGGGCUAAAAAAAACAACAGAGACAACAGCCAAUGCCAGGAUAUAGACAGAGCCAUGCAGUUUACAUUUUACAUCAAUUAAAAAAUUAAAAUGAAUUAAUAUGUAAAUUUUAUGGUUUUGAGAAAAAUAGAAUGUAUUUCUGUUCCACAUUAUAGGAAAAAAAAUUAUCGGAGGAAGCUUAGGUUCCGAAAAAAAUAUUUAUGAACAUAAUAAAAAUCCCAGCCCCCCCCCCCCCCCGAUAAGAAAAUGGUUGUUGCCUUAGGUGAAAGAUAAGACUUCAAUAUUUGUAAUUCGUUGUGUCCAUGUGUCCAGACACAUGCAUGUCAACUUUUUGCACCGGAACC